AGAGGCUUUGUGGAGUAGGACGCAGCUCUGUGAAGAGCCCAAGCCUCCUUUCACGGGCAGCGAGGAAGUUCUCAGCACACAGGGUCAUGCUAUGUCGCCCAGACUAGCCUUGAACUCAGUAUGCAGCUGUCGACGUGACACACCUAGCCACCUGGGAAGAGAACCUCAACUGAAGGACUCCCCGGAUAAGAUCCGAGCUGCAAACGAUAAGAGCCGAGCCCAAGGUGAUUUUCCGGAUUUGGAAUUUUGCUUCCAAGCCCAGGGACUGCUUAGAGACCCAGCACAUGCAGCAAGGCUCCUGACAGACAGCCGCGGGCUUACUCUUCACCCUUAAGUGCUAUUUUUGUGGUGUUAGUACUAACUCGGCAUUUGCCAAACUGACAUUAGUUGUGUUUAUGUGUUUUUCCUCCACUAAGUCGUAAGACUCUGAAGAGAGCGCUUCCUAAAAUCCAUUAG